rnacentral:rRNA from 1 species
UACAGAGGUCGCAAGCGUUGUUCGGAUUCACUGGGCGUAAAGGGUGCGUAGGGGGUUGGGUAAGUCUGAUGUGAAAUCUCCGGGCUCAACCCGGAAAUGGCAUUGGAUACUAUUCGGCUAGAGGUUUGGAGGGGGGACUGGAAUUCUCGGUGUAGCGGUGAAAUGCGUAGAUAUCGAGAGGAACACCAGUGGCGAAGGCGAGUCCCUGGACAACACCUGACACUGAGGCACGAAAGCGAGGGGAGCAAACAGG